rnacentral:rRNA from 1 species
AUUGAACGCUGGCGGCAGGCUUAACACAUGCAAGUCGAGCGAGCGGCGGACGGGUGAGUAAUGUCUGGGAAACUGCCUGAUGGAGGGGGAUAACUACUGGAAACGGUAGCUAAUACCGCAUACCAUCAUAUGUGCCCAGAUGGGAUUAGCUAGUCGGUGGGGUAAUGGCUCACCUAGGCGACGAUCCCUAGCUGGUCUGAGAGGAUGACCAGACACACUGGAACUGAGACACGGGCCAGACUCCUACGGGAGGCAGCAGUGGGGAAUAUUGCACAAUGGGCGAAAGCCUGAUGCAGCCAUGCCGCGUGUGUGAAGAAGGCCUUCGGGUUGUAAAGCACUGUCAGCGAGGAGGCGUUACUCGCAGAAGAAGCACCGGCUAACUCCGUGCCAGCAGCAGCGGUAAUUC